UCUUCCAGUUACAACGCGUUCUUCAGGAGGAUAAGCACAGUAUGUCAGUCUGCCAUCUGAAAACCACCAGCUGAAGGAGUCGAGGAAGCAGCACGGAAUCUGAGGCCAGCCUGCUCAGGCACAGCGCGGGGUUAAAGGAACCAUUUCCUAAGCUCAGAUGUGGAGAAGCAGCAUGAGCAGACCAAAGAGGAAAAAAGCCAAGUUACAUAAAGUCCGAUUGUACUCACGGUUUCCUUAUUGGGAAGCAGCUCCUUUCUGAUUCUGAAGAAGUUCUUGCCGUACUGCCGGAGCCCCUUAACGAAGCGUUUCUGUGAUAAAAAAGAAACAAGUGAGACGUAAAAACCAAAACCAAAACAGGAUGUCAGCAAAGCAAAGAUAUCUGCAAUCAGCAGAAUAGCAACCGCAGAAAACUCUGAGCUCGGGAAUAUUAGCCAGGCUGGAGGCUUUCGGCGGCACAGCUGGGACCUGCUGGGCAGGGCAGGGCAGCCCCCGGCCUGCGGGGAACCACAAGCCGUGCUGCGCCGCGUAUUUCGGGAAAGGCAAGCGGAGCUAGGGCGGCCUCCUGACACCGUGGGCUGCAUGGAGGUGCAAACAACAAACAGCCCGCGUUGCAAAAACCAGCACAGCCGCUUUCCACCCGCGGAAGCAUCUGCCUUCUCAGAAGUGUCUCGGGCAGCUCCGGCCCUCGUCCCCUUCCCUGACCACAAAAGCCCACCCGAAGCCCGCAGCCCUGUAGCCGAGAGCCUCUAGGGUCGAGCCCCGGGUCCGCCCGGCCCGCAGACUUUCACUUCGUUCAGCUCCAUGAGCUGCCCCCACCUCUGAUCCAAGCGCAACCCGUAGCCACAGUUCAGUGGGAACAAUCUGUGAGGCACAAGAAAGCAGCACACACUCCUCUGGUACGAAGAGCGACUUCCUGGUACUUGACUUCUGCACCAGCCAGACAAGCAACAGGCAUCCGAAGCUGCACACAGCAUCUCCGCCAGAACUAGAACAAGAGCUCUGCCCUCAAGGAGUUUCAGUCAGCCCAAAGAAGCAAACAGGAGUGCCACCAUGCCUGACAGGAGGGGAAAUUUUCCUUUGUUUUGUUUUACUUCGCAUCUAUUGAAGGGGAACACAGAAAUUCUCUGGAGUACCAAGCAGUGUCCACGUCAACCAGAUUCAUCAGACUCUAGCUUCAACCUCACAGAAGCAGUGAGGGCUACCGAGCUUGCUGCUCCAGCGUCACAGCCUUCUCUGUGCUGGCCUCCAAGGACAUCCCACAUUCCGACUUCUAAGGGUAUCGCCUCCUUCUGUUGACGUUGUGUCUGGAAGAAACCUCUGUACUGACAGCCAUUUAACAAUUGUCUCUUCAAUGUCAUUUCCUGUUAGCAGUCCCUGGACACCUAGAAGGAGUCUAACUGCUGAAUUAAUAGACUUCCUUCUUAGAGGGAGUGUCUGCACUAAUCUGAAGUACACUUGUCCAAGGCUCUGACUCUACCAGAAGUCAGGGCUAUUUCACUUCUGCUUUUUGUCCUUACAGAGAAAAUAACUCUUUAAGAAGUCACACCCGGGGCUGGAGAGAUGGCUCAGAGGUUAAGAGCACUGACUGCUCUUCCAGAGGUCAUGAGUUCGAUUCCCAGCAACCACAUAGUGGCUCACAACCAUCUAUAAUUCAAUCUGGUGUCCUCUUCUGGCAUGUAGGCAGAACACUGUAUAUGUAAUAAAUAAAUCUUAAGAAGUCAUACCCUAUGGAGGCUGUUU